AUUGAACGCUGGCGGCAGGCUUAACACAUGCAAGUCGAGCGGAGCGAGGGUGCUUGCACCUUAGCUUAGCGGCGGACGGGUGAGUAAUGCUUAGGAAUCUGCCUAUUAGUGGGGGACAACAUUCCGAAAGGAAUGCUAAAUACCGCAUACGCCCUACGAGGGAAAGCAGGGGGAUCUUCGGACCUUGCGCUAAUAGAUGAGCCUAAGUCGGAUUAGCUAGUUGGUGGGGUAAAGGCCUACCAAGGCGACGAUCUGUAGCGGGUCUGAGAGGAUGAUCCGCCACACUGGGACUGAGACACGGCCCAGACUCCUACGGGAGGCAGCAGUGGGGAAUAUUGGACAAUGGGCGCAAGCCUGAU
rnacentral:rRNA from 1 species